CUGGAACAUAUGAGGGAAAUGGUCAAACUUUCAGAACCCCAAAAGAUUGGGCAUGGUUACCUUCAUACUAGUAGUUUUGGAAACAGCAGAGUGAUGUGUGACUUUUUAAAACACAGAUUUUCGGUAUUUUCAAUGUAGAUCAGUGUCCUCAUUUACCAUUCUGUGAUUCAUAAAUCUGUUAGCCCUCUGCUCUUUUCCAACCCUGUUAAGAAGGCAGAGAGCCAUUUUCUGAUCCAUUAAGUGCCUUUUGUCAAAUAGUAGAUAAAAAGCACCCACCCACAUACAAACCUCAGAAAUGUAGCAUCUUUCCAAGGAUGUGUAACUGCCAGAGAUCUGGAGUUUAGGUGUUCAGUGUCUUGGUGCAGUUGGCUCCUUCCACACACAGCUGACAUGACCUUGGACCUCCUGAGCUACUGAGGGACAGGUAGCUGGGUCAUGCCCCCGUUUCCUUCCUCACGACUAAACACUCUGCUUGCCUUCCUGAUUCUGCCUUUGUGAGCAGGGCUCCCUGAACUCUCACAGUUUGUCUUCCCAGCCAAUUCUCCCCUUCUUUUCUGCCACCACCUUUUUGUUGCACCUAUUCUUCUGGCCUGGCAUUAUCAAAAAGUCAAAUCACGCUUUUUAUUGACAGAACAACAAUUUCAGAAUAUCAGAUGUAAUCUUUGAGUCUUUCUUUGGUUGCUCCCCUUCUGAUAAUCAUAGACUCAUUCUUUGUAGACAGAGUUUUCUUUUUUCUUCCCAUCUUAGUUUUAUUCUGGACACUAGAGAGUCCUAAAAGGCUCUUCAUUAUAUAACAAUUUUUUUUUGUAGUUCUGAAACCCAAACAAUUACCAAUAAAAGAUGUGACUGUAAGAUAAUACUACUACUAGUGGCCACCAUUUGUGGGAUAUUUUUGUGUGCCGUGCAGAGAGCUAGAAACUUCACAUGUAAUAGUACUUAGCACUUUUUUGAACUGAAGCCAGGGAAUGAAUUCAUAUUCCUCAAUAGUCAGCCUUCAAAGCGCAUGUUCUUAAUCACUGUACGUUCCCUCACCACCAAGGUCUUAAAGAAGCUGGUUUGAGUGGAGAGCAGUAAAGGUUGCUGGGUAGGAGGGAUAGCAGAGGAAAGGUGGCAAAGAAAGCAACUUUGGGGACUAAAAGACAAGUAUUGGCCUCAAAACAUAUUCACUUGACUAUAUUCUGUCUUGUAUCUUUUCCCUUUUUUAAAAUUUUUCAUAGAAAUCUACAUGUUUAAGAGGUAGGAUUUUAUCAAGAAGCUAAGAGACCAUAUUUUUCUAGUAUGGGCUAUAGAUAGUAAAAAGUCUAGAUGUAUGAUGAUGGAAGUGUAGCAGAAUAAACUGGAUGAAAUAAUUUUUUUGUUGGCAAUAUUUUUCAAAAUUCCUUAAAUAAUUAAAAGAACUAACUAAAAAAUGGGCUGCCCCUUUAUCAUUGCACAAUAGGCAACCUGUAGCCAACAUAAAUAAAAGUAGAAUCCCAUUUUUGAUGAAUUUUACAGGACAUCACACCUAUUACAUGUCUACUCAAUCCUUACUAAUUUUGAAACACACUCCCUACUUUGUGAAGUGGCUCAGGUUAUGAGCUGUAGAAUUUGUUGUGGGAAGUCAGUAGCACACCGUAAGCAUUAAAAAAUUGGUUUGAAAUUGUGUGAAAGGAAAUUUUUUUUUGUUUUGUUUGCUUUUUUGAGAUGGAGUUUCACUUUUGUUGCCCAGUUUGGAGUGCGAUGGGGCAAUCUUGCCUCACAGCAACCUCUGCUUCCCGGGUUUAGCUGAUUCUCCUGCCUCAGUCUCCUGAGUAGCAGGGACUAUGGGCAUGCACCACCACACCCACCUAAUUUUUGUAUUUUAGUAGAGACGGGGUUUUGCCAUGUUGGCCAGGCUGGUCUUGAAUUCCUGACCUCAAGGGAUCCGCCCGCCCCAACCUCCCAAAGUGUUGGGAUUACAGGCGUGAGCCACCAUGCCUGGCCAGGAAAUGUUUUUAGAGUUACAAAGCAAAGCAGUGGUACUUGAGAAGGUAAGUAGCAAUAUGGCCAUGCCCCCUACUGUAUUUGAAUAAUUGUGAAAAGGUUCAUAGUCUCCCUAAAACUUCUCAAGGCUGCUGGCCAAGGUGGCAUUCCCUCUCUUUGCAAAGCCUUUUUUAUCUGACAUGCUCCCUACCGACCGGACAAGAUACUCAGCUUUGUCAGAGGGAGUGGUGGGGCGGGGGUGGGAAAGUUUGGAAGAAAGGUGUGGGAACCUUAUGAUGUGUAGGAAAGGAGAGCCUGGCAGGCCAAGACAGCAAAAAGCAGGUGGAAAGCUGAAGUCGUUGUAGCAUGUCGCCUUUUAGAGUGUGAUUCUUCUAACUUCAGAGUCUGUUUAGGGACUCUCCACAGACAUUUAUCUACUUCUGCUGUCUUUUUUAUGAACUUAGGAAAUCUGAUCACUUGAGGUGAGAAUGCUUGGUAAAAUUCUGACCCAUCUCUCUUCCUUCCUCAAAAUCUGAGAGAUACCACUGUAACCCUCUGCUCACAUCUCCUUUUUACUUUCCUUUGCCUCUGUCCCAUAAACGUUUAUCCUUACUGACUUUCAUUUUAUGUGUUGAUAGGGUUUUUCCAGAACUCUCAAAGGAGAAGCACUUAUCAUAGUGCAGUUAUGGUGACAUUUACUUACUGCUUACUUUGUGCCAAGUGCCAUGCUAAGCAUUUAACUCCGAAAUGGUUAAUAUUAUUAUCCCCAUUUUGUUAAUGUAGAAAUGGGCACAGAGAAGUAACUUGCCAAGGUUACUCAGCAGCUAGGUGGUGGACCUAGGAUUCACUGUGAGCAUGCUGACUCCAGAGUCCACAUGCUAUGUCACACUCUUUCAUCACCUCCCGUAACUGGAAUCAGGUCCUAGAUUAGAGGCACGUCUUCAGGCAACCAGCCCUCUGGUUCCAUAUUCUACUCACUAAUGCCCUAUUUACUAAAAAUGAGUAAAUUAAUGAAACUCAAGAGUCACCAAUCUGAUAGAAAAAAUGGUUGUAUAUGUAAAAAACGCUGAAUAGGUCCAUUUAUAACAGACAUUAAGACUUUCCUAAACACCUAAAAUUGUCUGUUUCUUGUCUAUUGCCUUGUUCUUUCUUCUGCAUCCCUAGCAUAUGGGAGGUACCCUGUACAUGUUGAGUGAAUGAAUCUGUUAUGUACAUGUAAUGAAGCCAGUGUUAGACUGACCUGUUUGUUGGGGCAUAAAUAUGGUUUGAUUUUAUAGAAUUUGGGGGUUUUCACAAUUGAAGUGAAACAUGAGGGUGGAAAAAUGCCAUUGCAAGGCUAUAUACAUAUCUAUACCAGCAAGUAUCUAUUGAGAGUCUGGUAUUUGGUAGGUACUAUUUUGAGUAGAUACGUAAGAGGUAUGCAAAAUGCAUAUUUCUUUGGUGGAGCUUCUGGUCUUUGUGGAGCUAGUUAUUUAGUUUCAUUUUACAACUGAGUAAAUUGAGGCAAGAGGAGGAUAAAUUUCCCAAGGUCACCUACUAAGUUUUUGAUAGCUUUACGUCUGUGUAAAUUAUUGCCUACAGCCACUGAGCCAUGAAAUCAGUUUUACUUUUCAGGGUAGAGGUUAUUUUUAAUCUUAUGCUGGUUAAUUUUAACAAGUGAAAAGAUGAUGCAUUAUAAUACUCCUGGUAGUGUUUGUUUCUAACAAAGUAAUGAUAAAUCAACUUUCUGAGUAUAUCAGUUUAUAGUUGUUGUCAACUUUGGUUAAUAUCUAUAAAGUGACACUGAGCCUAUGAAGUGUAUAAACUUAAAAUUGAAGAAAUCUUGGAAUCAGAGGUAGACAUAAUAGAUUGUGGUUCUGGGAAAGGAGGUGGGAGGGUGUACUGGAGCAUGUGAAAUAAUCAUGAUCAUUGAGUUGAAUAAUCAUAUAAUUUAACAGAAACAUCUGGGCUUUCCACCAAUGUCAUCAUGAUGAUGAUUCAUCAAAGAUACCCUUUCAUGGCUGGAUGCGGUGGCUCAUGCCUGUAAUCCCCCAGCACUUUGGGAGGCCGAGGCACGUGGAUCUCUCGAGGUCAGGAGUUCAAGACCAGGCUGGCCAACAUGGCGAAACCCUGUCUCUACUAAAAAAACAAAAGUUAGCCAGGUCCGGUGGUGUGUGCCCAUAAUCCCAGCUACUUGGGAGUCUGAGGCAGUGAGGCAG
rnacentral:lncRNA from 1 species